ensembl:lncRNA
GCCUAACAGAGGGGAGAGGACAGUGGUGGUAGUAGACUAACAUUAGAGGGGAGAGGACAGUGGGUGGUGGUAGACUAACAGGGGAGAGGACAGUGGGUGGUGGUAGACUAACAUUAGAGGGAGAGAACAGUGGGUGGUGGUAGACUAACAUUAGAGGGAGAGGACAGUGGGUGGUGGUAGACUAACAGAGGGGAGAGGACAGUGGGUGGUGGUAGACUAAUAUUAGAGGGGAGAGGACAGUGGGUGGUGGUAGACUAACAUUAGAGGGAGAGGACAGUGGGUGGUGGUAGACUAAUAUUAGAGGGAGAGGACAGUGGGUGGUGGUAGACUAAUAUUAGAGGGAGAGGACAGUGGGUGGUGGUAGACUAACAGAGGGGAGAGGACAGUGGGUGGUAGUAGACUAACAUUAGAGGGAGAGGAUAGUGGGUGGUGGUAGACUAACAGAGGGGAGAGGACAGUGGGUGGUGGUAGACUAACAGAGAGGAGAGGACAGUGGGUGGUGGUAGACUAAUAUUAGAGGGGAGAGGACAGUGGGUGGUGGUAGACUAACAUUAGAGGGGAGAGGACAGUGGGUGGUGGUAGACUAACAGAGGGGAGAGGACAGUGGGUGGUGGUAGACUAACAUUAGAGGGGAGAGGACAGUGGGUGGUGGUAGACUAACAGGGGAGAGGACAGUGGGUGGUGGUAGACUAACAUUAGAGGGAGAGGACAGUGGGUGGUGGUAGACUAACAUUAGAGGGGAGAGGACAGUGGGUGGUGGUAGACUAACAUUAGAGGGGAGAGGACAGUGGGUGGUGGUAGACAGACAACAUUAGAGGGAGAGGACAGUGGGUGGUGGUAGACUAACAGAGAGGAGAGGACAGUGGGUGGUGGUAGACUAACAUUAGAGGGAGAGGACAGUGGGUGGUGGUAGACUAACAUUAGAGGGAGAGGACAGUGGGUGGUGGUAGACUAACAGAGGGAGAGGACAGUGGGUGGUGGUAGACUAACAUUAGAGGGAGAGGACAGUGGGUGGUGGUAGACUAAUAUUAGAGGGAGAGGACAGUGGGUGGUGGUAGACUAACAUUAGAGGGAGAGGACAGUGGGUGGUGGUAGACUAACAGGACAACAGGAGAUCAGGAAAACAGGAAAA